rnacentral:rRNA from 1 species
UACGGGGGGGGCAAGCGUUGUUCGGAAUUACUGGGCGUAAAGGGCUCGUAGGUGGCCAAUUAAGUCAGACGUGAAAUCCCUCAGCUUAACUGGGGAACUGCGUCUGAUACUGGAUGGCUUGAGUUUGGGAGAGGGAUGCGGAAUUCCAGGUGUAGCGGUGAAAUGCGUAGAUAUCUGGAGGAACACCGGUGGCGAAGGCGGCAUCCUGGACCAACACUGACACUGAGGAGCGAAAGCCAGGGGAGCAAACGGG